GAAAGGAACAUAAUUAUGUGUGGAAAAGCAGGAACUCAGGUGGGGUAAGAAACCAAUCGUGAUGAAUGAGGGGCUUGAACUCUCAUUGUCUGAGACGGGGGUUUCACCGUGUUAGCCGGGAUGGUCUCGAUCUCCUGACCUCGUGAUCUGCCCGCCUCGGCCUCCCAAAGUGCUGGGAUUACAGGCGUGAGCCACCGCGCGCGCCCGGCCCCUUACGGUUCUUGGAAUAGUGAGGAAAUCAAGAGAUGGAGAAAUUGGCCCACCAACCACUUUGGUGGUAAAGGAGGAGAGUUUCCUUUGUGAUUGGCCCGCACUCCUAAAUUUGCCCAAGUAAAAUCUACAUGAGUGUUUCCCACCACUUGGAGGUGGAUUGCAUAUAAGGCAUUUAGGGCAUACCCUCAUAACUCCAAUUGCCUCACUAGUAGACAUUUCCCAGUCAAAUAAGAUAUGGCCUGAGGAAACGGCCCAACAGUCUCACUCAGACUGGAGUGCAUUGGCAUCAUCAUGGCUUACUGCAGCCUCAACCUUCUGGGCUCAGGUGAUUUUCCCACCACAGCCUCACAGGCAGCUUAGACUACAAGUGUGUGCCAUCAUGCCCAGCUAAUUUGUUGUGUUUUUUGUAGAGACAGGGUUGUGCCAUGUCGCCAGGCUGGUCUCAAACUCCUGGACUCAAGAGACCAACCUGCCUUGGCCUCCCAAAGUGUUGGGAUUACAGCUGUGAGUCACUAUGCCUGGCCUCUUCUUUUUAUUUCUUAUUCAUAUUAUCUAAGAAUUCUAAUUUACUGUCAGUGGUUAUUGCUUUAUGAAAUCUCAGUAACAAGAAGCAAAGAAAAUGAGUUCGGUUAAGUGAGAAUCCUGAAUACAUUACCAACUUUUCUGCUCAUAAGUCCUCUUGUUUGAACAAACAGGAAGCAUUAUCAUGAAAGUCUCUUCUGAUAAUUCCACUGCCAUUCUUACAUCUAUCAAUGAUUGAAAUAAAGUAUAAAAAAUGAGACUAACCAAUGACUAAUAGGAUAGUAGAAGACCCUUAAAAUAGUUUUAUUCCUCUAGUACAGGUGGUCUUAAAUGGGGGUCUUAAAAAAAUGAUUCUAAUAAUUCUCAAGAUUUCUAGAAAUGCUUCUUAAAAAGUAACCUUUACAUUAUAUCCUUCAAAUUAAAAGCAAAGUGCCUUAACAGCGAAGCAAAAUCAUGUUCCAUAGGAAUAAAUUUCCUCCACUCAUUAUGAAUACAGGUAUCAGAAAGAUUAAAAUUUGCUUCUUUCUGUCACUGACACAGCUACUCUGCUUAUUCUUGCUUAGUUAUUUCAGUACCCAUGACAGUGUUCCAGCACAUAGCUGAGUAUGUGGGACAAAUUCAGAACACAGAAAUUAUUAUAUUAAUGCAUGAAUAAAUGAAUGAAUAGUUGAAGUGUAAGUUCCUAGGAAGAAAGGCAAUAAGAUAAAUCCACUUUUUUCCCCUCACAUAGGCCUUGUUUGAAGACAAUAAUUACAUGGCCUGAGGCCCUCUCUUUGACAAUACUUCAUUUUUACUUAAAGAGGUCUUACCUGGUAUGUAAACCUCAUUUGUUUGAUCCAUUUAACUUCAUCAUUUGGGAGAUAUAAUGGUUCUCAGACUUGUAAUAUUUUGAUGGCAUGAAACUAAAAGAAUAUUUGAUUUGUUACAUCUGAAGGAUUAUAAGGCUAAUGAGUAAGAAUAACUCAGUGCACCACUUCAGGUGAUUCGUAUGCUAUAGGAGUUAGCAAUGUAGUUCUUGUCUUUCGUUUGAAUAAAUUAAUAUUCCUAGAGUAUCUACUGAGUACAAGGCCUGAGCCAGAUGGAACUUGUUAGGGACUCUUGAACAAGCAGAACCAAAAGUAUGAUAGACAAAAGGUAGAAAUCUAAUUAAAAGCAGUUGAGAUGAUGACACAAGAUCAAUUGAAAUAAUCUGCAAAGCCCAGAAUGAAGUUAGACACUUUUCAUUUUAGUCUGCUGACAAAAUUAAGCAAUAUAACAUCACAAAAUAUUAGAUUUGUUAAUUACAUAUUUGUCUAUUUUAUGCUUAAGUGUAUCUACAUUAAAUGUUAGAUUAAAUGCAACGUGGUGUUAGCAUUAGACCCUGGAGUAAAGUCGUAGCUGAAAAACCUGUGAAAGCAAAUAGUCUGUAGUUUAGUUAAUAAUAUUCUAGCAAUAUUAAUUUUUUUAGUUUUGAACAAUGGUUAUAAAAGAUGUUAACAUUCGGGCAAACUGGAUAAAGAUUACAUGGGAUCUAUUCUGGCUAUUUUUGUAACUUCUGUAAAUUAAAAAGUACUUCAAAAUAAAAUUAUUUAAAAUUGUAA
rnacentral:sRNA from 1 species